rnacentral:rRNA from 1 species
AUCAUGGCUCAGAUUGAACGCUGGCGGAAUGCUUUACACAUGCAAGUCGAACGGUAGAGGGGGCAACCCUUGAGAGUGGCGAACGGGUGAGUAAUAUAUCGGAACGUGCCCAGUCGUGGGGGAUAACGUAGCGAAAGUUACGCUAAUACCGCAUACGAUCUAAGGAUGAAANCGGGGGAUCGCAAGACCUCGCGCGAUUGGAGCGGCCGAUAUCAGAUUAGGUAGUUGGUGGGGGUAAAGGCUCACCAAGCCAACGAUCUGUAGCUGGUCUGAGAGGACGACCAGCCACACUGGAACUGAGACACGGUCCAGACUCCUACGGGAGGCAGCAGUGGGGAAUUUUGGACAAUGGACGCAAGUCUGAUCCAGCCAUUCCGCGUGCAGGAUGAAGGCCCUCGGGUUGUAAACUGCUUUUGUACGGAACGAAAAGGUUUCUCUUAAUACGAGGAGCUCAUGACGGUACCGUAAGAAUAAGCACCGGCUAACUACGUG